CCCAAAACAUCGUAUGUCAAAUGCAGUUAUUGAUAAAAUGAACAACAAAAUAAAAAAGUUGAUGCGUCUCACAUCGGGUUUUUUUUUUCUUCGUAGUGAUCUCACAUCGGUUUCAUAAAGAUGAAUGUGUUUCGCAUGAUCUUGCAUUAUCAAACUCAAUUCUUCAAUCCUUUCAACCAAUUCAAGAAAGUUGACAUUUCUAUAUUAAUAUAAUUUAUUUUUUGGGAAUCUUUGAAAGACAAAAUUAAGAUUAAUUUCUCUAAUAGGCCCAUUUUCAACUAUAAUAGAAUGGGAAUUACUUUUCCCACCCUGUGGGUUUCCUCGCGCGCCUUAUUUUUUCCAAAAAUGCCCUUGAGUAUCCGGAUUUUAUAAUCCGAAAUGGUGUUUUCUUUUAUUAAAUGGUGAAAAAAAUGAGUAACGGAUUUUUCCGGAUUUUGUAAUCCGGAAACUUCAAAAAAUAGGGCAUGUUACAUGAUGUUUCCGAAUUACAUAAUCCGAAAACCCCCUAAACACCCUUUUUCAAGGUAAAACAGUUCGGAUUAUAUAAUCUGAACUGUAUCAGCACAAAUUCUAAACAUGUUUGUAACAUGGAUAGUCAUUUUAGGGAUAAUAUUAAUCUUCCUAACUCUCAUCCUUCUGUUUUGGGUUAUUGUUACCUAUUCUUAGUCAAAAAUCGGGUUUUCAGGCUACUUGAUCGGAUUGCUCCGAAACUUCCCCAGAAAACAGAAAAAAUUCAAGGAUCAUGACUCCCCUACAAGGGACUUCUUACGGGAUUCCGUCCUUCAAAAUCCAAAAUUCCAUCGUUUAGACACAUUUUUCAUUUUUUUUUUUAUUUUUCAUAUUCUCAGAAAAAUCCGAAAAAAAUUUCAUUAUUUUAUUUGAUUUUUAGAAUUUUUUGUGCUAUUUUUAUGAUUUUAUUUGACAGGUUUUUAGCAUUUUUACUUAGUUUUUUUUUUUGUUGUUUUUAAAAGCAAAACUCAAAGCUGCUGAAAUGUGAGAGAGUUUGAUGGCUGAUUAUACCUAAGAAUUGUCCGGAUUAUAAAAUCCGAAAUAGUAAACAUGAAUCCGGAUUUUAAAAUCCGAAAUGCACAAGGGCAUUUUUGGAAAUUUUACAAGGCGUGGGAGAAUGUCAUUGGGUGGGAAAAGUAAUAGUCUAAUAGAAUUUGUUUUGUUUUGAAAAUUAUCCCAAAUUCUUGGAAAAUAAAUAUCAUCAAUAUUUUUAAUAUUAGUGAGGCACAUUAUUAGGAACAUAGGACCCAAAAAAAUAUCACCAAUUACUUCGAUAAUAAUUUUUUGAGCAUAUUAUUAAGAACAAUCAAAAAAAUUUAUAGGAGGGUAUAUAUAGAAAUUUUCAUUAAAUUAAAAAUUUCUAUAUAUACCCUCCUUUAAAAAUCCUAUGAAUCAAAUAAAAUGUGAUAAUUUUAAAAACAUUUAAUUAAACGUAGAGACUAUUCUUCAAAUGACGCAAAAUUUAAGGAUUAAAAACAUAUUUAACAUACCUCUUUGGCCUAUGAUUGCUGUUAGUAUCAAAAUAAGUGAGGAAUGCAUUCACUGGGGCUGCUGUUGAGCUUUACGAUUGGUAUGUUUUUUUGUAUUAACAUACCUCUUUGGCCUUCCAUUUGAAUUAUCCUAAUGCUCUGGAAAUUUGAAGUGCACAAAUUUUCCGUUUGUGAAUUAGAUGAUCCUUUUGAUAUACUGAGCAGCAUAACCUUGUUGAAUCACACUGUUCUGUUU
rnacentral:lncRNA from 1 species